GAUGAAGAACGCAGCGAAAUGCGAUAAGUAAUGUGAAUUGCAGAAUUCAGUGAAUCAUCGAAUCUUUGAACGCACAUUGCGCCCGGUAGUAAUCUGCCGGGCAUGCCUGUCCGAGCGUCAUUUCACCCCUCGAACCACUAUUCGCGUAGCUGGAUCGGUGUUGGGGCACUACGGUGGAAUACCCGUAGGCCCCGAAAUGAAGUGGCGGUCCCGCCGCGGCGCCCCCAUGCGUAGUAACUUUCAGUCUCGCAUCGGGUCCCGGCGGAGGCCUGCCGUCAAGCCUAUUUUAUAAUCUUUUACAGAUGGUUUGACCUCGGAUCAGGUAGGGUUACCCGCUGAACUUAAGCAUAUCAAUAAGCGGAGGA
rnacentral:misc_RNA from 1 species